CUUUAAAGACAUUAAAAGAUAAAUAAAGCAAGAAACUUUAAUACUGACUAGAAGUGUCCAAGAUCCCAUCUUCAGGACCUGCUGAAGUGUCCUUGCCUUUCACUGGUUCCUUUUUCUUUGCAUUCCUAAGAAUUCCCAGUGAUGAGCAAUUGUCGCCUAAAUUGACUCAUUGUGACCUCACCACCCCUCAUGACAAAGAUGAUAAAGACAGCCCUUCAAGAGGCUGGAGGUAAAAUCGGCACCUCAUCACUUCUCUCCUGGUAUAUGAGAACUUACCCAGACAGUGACCAAAGCCAGGGAGAAAGGUGGAUCCCCUGCAAGGAUCCGGGAUCGACUGUUGUACUUCAGAGCUCUUUCAUCAAGACAGUGUUGAAUAACCUAUCACAAGCAAACACUGAUUGAGGGCCUACCAUGAGGGGGUCUCCAGAUCCUAGUGAGUCAUGGCCAGCCUGGCUGAAGAGUGGAAUGGACAAAAAGGACCAAUGCCACCAUCAGUCUAAAGAAAAUUUAGAAAUUGGGCACCAGAGCAGGCAAGAGGUGCUGAAUUUUAGGGUAGAUGAGAAAACUUUUUGGGCUAAGGCAGAAGUCUAUGGAGGCCAGCAGUGAGCAGAAUGGCUGAAAAGUGGGGAAGGCCUCCCAGCCAAGACACAAAACUUGUAUUUUAUUGUAUGGAUAUUUAUUGUAUGGAUAGUGAGGAGACAUUCAACUGUUUAAAGCCAGAAUGUAUAAAUUUGGAUCUAUGAAAAUUUAUUUGAAACAAUUUGUAAAGCCAACCAGGACUGAGAAAAAAACUGAAGGUGAGAAGACCAGCUGGUAGUUGAUAAAGUAAUAUGACUGACAUUCAUUGAGAAGUUGCUUAACCAGAGCCUCGCAAAAGGUUCUACAUUCAUAAUCACAUUUAGUGCACCCAGGGCUCCUGGGGACUAGGUCACCUCUAUCCCCAUCCUUGAUCUAUCCCUAUUCUAUAGAUGAAGGAAGGCAGAGGUAGAGAUUCUGAGUAAUGACUCCAUCAUCGCAAAAGGAAGUCUGGGCUAAACUCAGAUUAGCUGAUCGCAGAGGGGGCACUUCAAAGCCAGUACUCAGCAUUCAGAUAAUAAUACUGAUGGCAAAAAGAAAAUUAAUAUCAAGGGAAACAACUAUGUAUCAAAUGUCCAUGGCAAAUAGGCACUGCUCUAGGUGCUUCACAUAUAUUCAGUUCUGGGAAUAUGGGUAGCCCUUCUUUUCUUCAAGAAAGCAGAUUGUGAUCUGUGGUGGUAAAGGCCUGGACUUGGGACAGGAGUGGGCUGAGAAAGUGGGUUCAGUGCUGUGAAUGUGGGGAAGAAAGAAGUGAAAUAUGACAUACGACAUCAGGCCUGUGUGGCUGAGGGAUCCAGAGAAGGCCAUGGGACAGCCAGUGGAGAGGGAGGAGGGGGCACUGCUUUACUUUUAGUAGGCUGGAGACCACCUUCCUGGUCUUGGGGGCAGGGGCUGUGGGGGAAGAGGGUACCCAUUAAAAGAAAAGGGUGAAAAAAAUAGAAAAGGGCGAUUUUCUUUAAAUUGUAUCUAAGUAGCAUUAGCUAUGUUUGGAGGGUGUACUAAAUUAUAUGGUGAGUUUGAAAUCAUUAAGAACCAAUAAUCCGGGACACCUGGGUGGCUCACUUGGUUAAGCAUCUGCCUUCGACUCAGGUCAUGAUGCCAGGGUCCUGGGAUCGAGUCCCACAUCGGGCU